GCUUACGGCCACACCACCCUGAGCACGCCCGCUCUCGUCUGAUCUCGGAAGCCAAACAGGGUCGGGCCUGGUUAGUACUUGGAUGGGAGACCGCCUGGGAAUACCAGGUGCUGUAAGCAU
rnacentral:rRNA from 1 species